rnacentral:rRNA from 1 species
UACGGGGGGAGCAAGCGUUGUUCGGAUUUACUGGGCGUAAAGGGCGCGUAGGCGGCGUGACAAGUCACUUGUGAAAUCUCCGGGCUUAACUCGGAACGGUCAAGUGAUACUGUCGUGCUAGAGUACAGAAGGGGCAACUGGAAUUCUCGGUGUAGCGGUGAAAUGCGUAGAUAUCAAGAGGAACACCUGCGGCGAAGGCGGGUUGCUGGGCCGACACUGACGCUGAGGCGCGAAAGCUAGGGGAGCGAACGGG